GGUAACAAGUGGUAUCAGAGCCCGAUGCUCUAGUUCUUGCUUGAUUUAACCAUCAAGAGCUAAAGAUCAAUGGCAGCCUAAUUUAUCACAUCCCUAGUCGAGGGACAAUCUACAAACCGACCUCUACUUUUUAAUGGAUCAAACUAUACCUAUUGGAAAGCUCGGAUGAAAAUUUUUAUUUAAGCACUUGACUAUGACAUGUGGAGUGUCAUAAUAAAUGAACCUUACACAUCUACUAAAUUGAUUGAUGGUGUCUCUCUCCCUA
rnacentral:lncRNA from 1 species